rnacentral:rRNA from 1 species
UUUCCCUCAGGAUAGCUGGCACUCGCUUGAGCGAGUCUCAUCUGGUAAAGCGAAUGAUUAGAGGCCUUGGGGCCGAAACGACCUCAACCUAUUCUCAAACUUUAAAUGGGUGAGAUCUCUGGCUUGCUUGAACGUUGAAGCCACGAGAUUAAUUUGUUGGAUCAGAGUGCCAAGUGGGCCAAUUUUGGUAAGCAGAACUGGCGCUGUGGGA